GAUUAAAUUAAUUAUUUAUUAAUUUUAAAAAUUUAAUUUGUUAAUUAAUUAAAGUAAUUUAUUUUUUAUUAUUUAUUAAGAAAAAAUAUUUUUUAUUAUAGUUUAAUGUAUUGAGAAAGAAUAUUUUUAAUUUUAAAAAAGAAAAAUUUAAAUUUUGUACCUUGUGCAUCAGGGUUAAUUAAUAAUAAAUUAAUUAUUUUAAUAAUCUCGAAUUUAAAAGAGCUAAUUAAUUAUUUAUUUUAUUGUAAAAUAAAUAUUUAAAAUAAUUAAUUAGAAAUGAAACGUUAUUCGUUUUUAAAUAUAUCUAGUUUCUUAAUAAAUAAAUUUAAUUUAGUUAUUUAUAAUUAAAAUUUUAAAUUUUUAAUAUUUUAUUUAUAAAUAAGUAAUUUUUUUAGGGAUAAGCUUAAAAAAAAAUUUUUAUAAUUUAAUAAAUAAGAAAUAAAUUAUAGGAUUAUAAUUUUCUAUAAAUAAAAAAAUGUUAUAAUUAAUUAUUUUUAAAAUAAAAUUUUUAUUGAAUUUAAAUUUUUUAUUAAGAAAAAAUCUUUAUUUGAAAAAGUUUUGUUAUAAUGAUUAAAUUAGUAUAAAUUAAUGUAAUUUUAAAUUAUUAAUAAAGGUUAAUUUAAGGAAUUCGGCAAAAUAUUUUUCACCUGUUUAUUAAAAACAUGUCCUUUUGAUUAUAAUUUAAGGUCUAAUCUGCCCACUGAGGAAUUAAAUGGCCGCGGUAUUUUGACCGUGCAAAGGUAGCAUAAUAAUUAGUUUCUUAAUUAGAAGCUGGAAUGAAAGAUUGAAUGAGAAAAUAACUGUCUCAAGUUAAUUUAAUUAGAACUUUAUUUUUAAGUUAAAAAGCUUAAAUAUAUUUAAAAGACGAGAAGACCCUAUAGAGUUUAAUUAAAUUUAUUAAUAAAUUUAUUUAGAUUAAAAAAUUUUUAUUAAUAAAUUUAAUUUUGUUGGGGUGACAGAAAAAUUAAAUAAACUUUUUUUAUAUUUAUACAUAUAUAAAUGAAUUAUUGAUCCAAAUUUAUUGAUUAAAAGAUUAAAUUUCCUUAGGAUAACAGCGUAAUUUUUUUUGAGAGUUCUAAUCGAAA
rnacentral:rRNA from 1 species